GACUACGCGGCGGAGUUCACCGACCUGGUGGUGAAGCACCUGAUUGAGCACAGUGACUCUGGGGACACGUCUGUGGUGGAGACCCUUUACUGCAGGGCCUGCGAGCUGCCCGUGCGCGUGCGGAGGGACCGCAUCCUGGAACACCUGUCCUCGGGCAGGCAGCACGGCCUGCGGACGCCCAUUCUCAUGUAAAUGUCAGUGCCAACGCUGGUGUUUCAGGAGUCAUCCCAGCGGGCUGCGGGCUAUUUUAGGAUUCUCUGCCCUGCAAACGUUUCCAAAGUACGUGGACAGGCCGCCUGAUGACACUACGUUUACGGGAUCUGCUAGUGGCUUGCCUACUUAGGGAGUAAACCCUGUGAAGUCUCGCAGUUUUGUUAAAGUGUGCGUGGCCACCUGAAUGCUGCCUUAUCACAAGCCAGAUACAUACUGGUCUGUAGGGUAACUCCCCACUGUUGAUCCUCUGAGAUGAUUGUGGACUGGGUGCUGUGAGUCCUGCCACUUUGUUUAAGUGAAUGUGUCUUUUGUCCAGCUCAGCCGCCUCGGAUCUCGCUGCCACCAGCCUUACUGCACACCCGUGCCACCCGCCCUUGCCCCGUCAGCCUCAGCCUCAGCUCAUUCUCUCAGGCAGUCCCAGCAUUGGCACGGUACCUCCUCCCGCUGUGGGCCACACGUCUCUGCUCCCUGUCAACCCUCCUGCCAUCAGCACCACCACCAGCGACUUGUCUGCCCGGGAGGAUGCAACACCAUCUGCCUCCACCGGCCACCUUUCAGUGUUUCCUGCUUUCCAAGUAAAGAUACCAGCAGUGCCCUCAGAGCAGACCAGCCAGAGUUUUUCUGAAGCCUCCCACAGGGUGCUCCCCGGAGGAGGCCCGAGAUGCUCUCGUGACUUUGGAGCCGGGGUGGCUGGCCACCUUGGCCUGGGCAUCUUUGGGGUGGGCUUCGGGAGCCCGGCACUGCUGCAGAGUGUGGUGGAUGAGAACAGCUGCUGCUUGCUGUACGUGGUGGAGGACCAGCUGUGUGAUGUGGAGCAAGCCUUCAGAGCUGAGCAUUUGGGCCAACACCAGAGUGGUUCGGGAACAGGAUGCAGACAUUGUCCUCAACGACCAGCGGUACGGUUUCAGUUGUCAGCAGAGGUUCACUGAACACCUGCUGUGUGCCGGGCACCGUCCUGGGGGCUGGAGAAAUGGCUCUGAAUGCUGCAAAGUCCCCAUGCUUGUGCUGCUGAAUUGGGGGCAGAGGCAGAUGCGUAGAUCUCAACACAUCAGUAGCAAUAAGCUCUGCGGAGAGAACUCACGCUGAGUCGGGAGAGGGAGGCUGGUGGGAGUGCUGUUUUAGGCACUUUGAUCCGGUUUUCCAGUUCUUGCACAAGCAAGUUUGUGUCAGCCACGCCCUGGGGAGGAUCCACUGGAUCACCGCCGUCACUGCCUGUUCCCGGCGGCCUCUCCGGCUUCCCUAAAGAGAGCAGGUGGGACUUUCUACAACGCUGCUGUGCACGACGUGGAUGCCGUAUGCAUGUUGCUGGGGGAAGCCACUCCGGACACUGUGUUUUCUCUGGGACAUGUCUUCUGCCCAGAUAUGGCCGCCUUAAAAGAUGCAGAUGCUGUUGUGAUCAGCAUGAAGUUUCCCUGUGAGGCCGUGGUUAGCGUGGACAUCAGCCAGCACUGCACAGACAGCUGCGACCAGGACGUCAGCCAGCACUGCACAGACAGCUGCGACCAGAGACUGGAGGGCGUUUUAGAGUCCCCGUUUCUACGUUCUAUGUGGCACCCUCUUGCCGAGGGAACAUCCAGAAUCCCUCCACUUCCUGUCUAGUUUGAGGCCUCAACACCUUCAUGAUCCAGAGUCCUGCGGCUAUGAGGGGGUGGGCCCACCACCGCCCAGCCCUCCUUGGUGGACGUGGGGACAGGUUUUGCUGAGAAACGGGAGUGCGUUCUGUGUCGGUGUUUGUGACGCCCUGAGACCCUGCUUGGCCUAGCUAAAGUCCAGAAGGCCUGGGCCCCACAGGGCUUGGAUGAGGGCUCAUGGGCCUGUACUUCAGGAGGCCUGAGAGGCCCGGUCAGUCCCAUGAGGCUACUCGGCUUGGCCCGCAGGUCCUCCGAGGCACAGGGCAGAGGGACACCCCAGGGACCCAUCAGACUCACGACACAGAGAAACUCAAGUGGGGUGCCAGGGCCGGCCACAGAGGCCACGGGCUUCCUGCCUGUGAGGAGCCGCCCUGUUUGUCUGAGCCCUUUGGAGAUUUAGGUUGAGUCAUGAGAACCGGUCAUUGGAACAUACACUUUAUUAUGUUACAAAAACAAAAAUCCCCACUGAAACACAGCUAAAAAAAUAACACAUUUUCCCAAGAUUACAUUACCAAAAACAGUUGUUAUGUCAUUGGAGGGCGUCCAUUAAUACUGCUCGGAGAA
ensembl:lncRNA GFOD3P Gfo/Idh/MocA-like oxidoreductase domain containing 3, pseudogene